rnacentral:misc_RNA from 1 species
GAUGAAGAACGUAGCGAAAUGCGAUAAGUAGUGUGAAUUGCAGAAUUCAGUGAAUCAUCGAAUCUUUGAACGCACAUUGCGCCCGCCAGUAUUCUGGCGGGCAUGCCUGUUCGAGCGUCAUUUCAACCAUCAAGCCCCGGGCUUGUGUUGGGGACCUGCGGCUGCCGCAGGCCCUGAAAAGCAGUGGCGGGCUCGCUGUCACACCGAGCGUAGUAGCAUACAUCUCGCUCUGGGCGUGCUGCGGGUUCCGGCCGUUAAACCACCUUUUAACCCAAGGUUGACCUCGGAUCAGGUAGGAAGACCCGCUGAACUUAAGCAUAUCAAUAAGCGGAGGA